rnacentral:misc_RNA from 1 species
AGUAAGUUGCUUCUGCAGAUCCAGAAUGUAUUCAGCUUGAGCUUGAUUAGUACACCUCGUCACAUGAGCAAUCAGGCAUUGUGCAUGAAAUGCAUGCCCACAUGGAAAGACAUAGAAAGGAGCCAUUGGUCCAACAGCCAUAUAACCUGUAGUCAUUCGAUAGUCACCACCCACAUUUAAUAUUUUCCGCCGGCAAACCCCACAUUCCUCAUCCCGAUCAAUUACAGUAUAUCGCUGAGCAAGAGCGCUGAUGUCAUUUCUAAUGUUAUCGGCACCACGGGUUGCAUCAUUCAUCUCCUGCUUUAGUUUUUCAAUUUGCUCAUUGUAAUCUUCUAAGGAUGAACAAAUUGCUUCCUUGAAGUCAUCAAUUAAAGCAAAGUCUGGGAAGAAGGGUAAAAUGUCCUCAAUCUUUAACAGACCAUCAGUUUCCUUGAGAAAAGCAAUUGCCUUUCGUAUAUUCUCCCUUUUGGUUCCUUUUUCCUGCUCAAUGACAUGCUUAGCAAUCAUAAGCCAAAGCUUCUUCCUCAAGUCCUCAUCAUCUUCUACCUUGUCUGCUUCAGCCAUAGCAAGCUCUGGAUCAACCUGUAAUGCCAGGGCAACUGCUUCUUCAUGCAUAGACAUCAUGCUGUAUAUAUGAACACAAGCUCGCAUUCUCUUUUCCUUGAGGCAAAGGCGUAGCGCAUAUUUGGGAUCAUAAAAGAAUUCAGGUCCACCUGGUUGCCCUUUACCAAACUUGCAUUCUAGGAAACGCAGAAGAGCACUCUCAUCUUCCUUUUUGGCAUAUAAGGAAAGUAACAGAUUGUGAACUCCGGGAUCCUCAUUCUGUAAACGAUGAACACAAUACUCCAGGUACUUGAUUACUUCAUGAGUUUCAUUCUUUGCAUGUGGUUCACUUGAAUAACGCAUCAUU